GUACUUACUCCUACGGGAGGCAGCAGUAGGGAAUCUUCCGCAAUGGGCGAAAGCCUGACGGAGCAACGCCGCGUGAGUGAUGAAGGUCUUCGGAUCGUAAAACUCUGUUAUUAGGGAAGAACAAAUGUGUAAGUAACUAUGCACGUCUUGACGGUACCUAAUCAGAAAGCCACGGCUAACUACGUGCCAGCAGCCGCGGUAAUACGUAGGUGGCAAGCGUUAUCCGGAAUUAUUGGGCGUAAAGCGCGCGUAGGUGGUUUUUUAAGUCUGAUGUGAAAGCCCCCGGCUCAACCGGGGAGGGUCAUUGGAAACUGGGAGACUUGAGUGCAGAAGAGGAGAGUGGAAUUCCAUGUGUAGCGGUGAAAUGCGUAGAUAUAUGGAGGAACACCAGUGGCGAAGGCGGCUCUCUGGUCUGUAACUGACGCUGAGGCUCGAAAGCGUGGGGAGCAAACAGGAUUAGAAACCCGGGUAGUCCAGGCAU
rnacentral:rRNA from 1 species